GUGGUCUAGUUGUUAGAACGUCCGCCUCGGAUGCCGGAGGUCGCAGGUUCGAACCCCUGCUAAGUCA